rnacentral:tRNA from 3 species
UGGGGUAUAGCCAAGUGGUAAGGCAACGGACUCUGAAUCCGUCAUUCCGCUGGUUCGAAUCCAGCUACCCCAGCCA